GCAUCCAUGGCAGAGUGGUCGAUUGCACCGCACUCAUAAUGCGACUCCUUCGGGACAACAUUGGUUCGAAUCCAAUUGGAUGCA
rnacentral:tRNA from 2 species